UGUGAGCUCGAUGAGUAGGGCGGGACACGUGAUAUCCUGUCUGAAGAUGGGGGGACCAUCCUCCAAGGCUAAAUACUCCUGACUGACCGAUAGUGAACCAGUACCGUGAGGGAAAGGCGAAAAGAACCCCGGCGAGGGGAGUGAAACAGAACCUGAAACCGUGUACGUACAAGCAGUGGGAGCCUUCGUAAGAGGGUGACUGCGUACCUUUUGUAUAAUGGGUCAGCGACUUAUAUUCUGUAGCAAGGUUAACCGUAUAGGGGAGCCGAAGGGAAACCGAGUCUUAAUUGGGCGUUAAGUUGCAGGGUAUAGACCCGAAACCCGGUGAUCUAGCCAUGGGCAGGUUGAAGGUUGGGUAACACUAACUGGAGGACCGAACCGACUAAUGUUGAAAAAUUAGCGGAUGACCUGUGGCUGGGGGUGAAAGGCCAAUCAAACCGGGAGAUAGCUGGUUCUCCCCGAAAGCUAUUUAGGUAGCGCCUCGUGAACUCAUCUCCGGGGGUAGAGCACUGUUUCGGCUAGGGGGCCAUCCCGGCUUACCAACCCGAUGCAAACUGCGAAUACCGGAGAAUGUUAUCACGGGAGACACACGGCGGGUGCUAACGUCCGUCGUGAAGAGGGAAACAACCCAGACCGCCAGCUAAGGUCCCAAAGUCAUGGUUAAGUGGGAAACGAUGUGGGAAGGCCCAGACAGCCAGGAUGUUGGCUUAGAAGCAGCCAUCAUUUAAAGAAAGCGUAAUAGCUCACUGGUCGAGUCGGCCUGCGCGGAAGAUGUAACGGGGCUAAACCAUGCACCGAAGCUGCGGCAGCGACACUAUGUGUUGUUGGGUAGGGGAGCGUUCUGUAAGCCUGCGAAGGUGUGCUGUGAGGCAUGCUGGAGGUAUCAGAAGUGCGAAUGCUGACAUAAGUAACGAUAAAGCGGGUGAAAAGCCCGCUCGCCGGAAGACCAAGGGUUCCUGUCCAACGUUAAUCGGGGCAGGGUGAGUCGACCCCUAAGGCGAGGCCGAAAGGCGUAGUCGAUGGGAAACAGGUUAAUAUUCCUGUACUUGGUGUUACUGCGAAGGGGGGACGGAGAAGGCUAUGUCGGCCGGGCGACGGUUGUCCCGGUUUAAGCGUGUAGGCUGACUUUCCAGGCAAAUCCGGAAGGUUAAGGCUGAGGCGUGAUGACGAGGCACCACGGUGCUGAAGUGACAAAUGCCCUGCUUCCAGGAAAAGCCUCUAAGCAUCAGGUAACAUCAAAUCGUACCCCAAACCGACACAGGUGGUCAGGUAGAGAAUACCAAGGCGCUUGAGAGAACUCGGGUGAAGGAACUAGGCAAAAUGGUGCCGUAACUUCGGGAGAAGGCACGCUGACAUGUAGGUGAAGCCCCUGCGGGUGGAGCUGAAGUCAGUCGAAGAUACCAGCUGGCUGCAACUGUUUAUUAAAAACACAGCACUGUGCAAACACGAAAGUGGACGUAUACGGUGUGACGCCUGCCCGGUGCCGGAAGGUUAAUUGAUGGGGUUAUCGCAAGAGAAGCUCCUGAUCGAAGCCCCGGUAAACGGCGGCCGUAACUAUAACGGUCCUAAGGUAGCGAAAUUCCUUGUCGGGUAAGUUCCGACCUGCACGAAUGGCGUAAUGAUGGCCAGGCUGUCUCCACCCGAGACUCAGUGAAAUUGAACUCGCUGUGAAGAUGCAGUGUACCCGCGGCAAGACGGAAAGACCCCGUGAACCUUUACUACAGCUUGACACUGAACAUUGAGCCUUGAUGUGUAGGAUAGGUGGGAGGCUUUGAAGCGUGGACGCCAGUCUGCGUGGAGCCGACCUUGAAAUACCACCCUUUAAUGUUUGAUGUUCUAACCUGGCGCCGUGAUCCGGCGUGGGGACAGUGUCUGGUGGGUAGUUUGACUGGGGCGGUCUCCUCCCAAAGUGUAACGGAGGAGCACGAAGGUCAGCUAAUCCUGGUCGGACAUCAGGAGGUUAGUGCAAUGGCAUAAGCUGGCUUGACUGCGAGAGUGACGGCUCGAGCAGGUGCGAAAGCAGGUCAUAGUGAUCCGGUGGUUCUGUAUGGAAGGGCCAUCGCUCAACGGAUAAAAGGUACUCCGGGGAUAACAGGCUGAUACCGCCCAAGAGUUCAUAUCGACGGCGGUGUUUGGCACCUCGAUGUCGGCUCAUCACAUCCUGGGGCUGAAGUAGGUCCCAAGGGUAUGGCUGUUCGCCAUUUAAAGUGGUACGCGAGCUGGGUUUAGAACGUCGUGAGACAGUUCGGUCCCUAUCUGCCGUGGGCGCUGGAGAAUUGAGGGGGGCUGCUCCCAGUACGAGAGGACCGGAGUGGACGCAUCACUGGUGUUCGGGUUGUCAUGCCAAUGGCACUGCCCGGUAGCUAAAUGCGGAAGAGAUAAGUGCUGAAAGCAUCUAAGCACGAAACUUGCCCCGAGAUGAGUUCUCCCUGAGACUGUAAGUCUCCUGAAGGAACGUUGAAGACGACGACGUUGAUAGGCCGGGUGUGUAAGCGCAGCGAUGCGUUGAGCUAACCGGUACUAAUGAACCGUGAGGCUUAACCUU
rnacentral:rRNA from 1 species